rnacentral:rRNA from 1 species
AGAGUUUGAUCAUGGCUCGGAUUGAACGCUGGCGGCAGGCCUAACACAUGCAAGUCGAACGGUAGCAGGAUGUGCUUGCACAUCGCUGACGAGUGGCGGACGGGUGAGUAAUGCUUGGGAACUUGCCUUUGCGAGGGGGAUAACAGUUGGAAACGACUGCUAAUACCGCAUAAUGUCUACGGACCAAACGGGGCUUAGGCUCCGGCGCAGAGAGAGGCCCAAGUGAGAUUAGCUAGUUGGUGGGGUAAAGGCUCACCAAGGCAACGAUCUCUAGCUGUUCUGAGAGGAAGAUCAGCCACACUGGGACUGAGACACGGCCCAGACUCCUACGGGAGGCAGCAGUGGGGAAUAUUGCACAAUGGGGGAAACCCUGAUGCAGCCAUGCCGCGUGUGUGAAGAAGGCCUUCGGGUUGUAAAGCACUUUCAGUUGUGAGGAAAAGUUAGUAGUUAAUACCUGCUAGCCGUGACGUUAACAACAGAAGAAGCACCGGCUAACUCCGUGCCAGCAGCCGCGGUAAUACGGAGGGUGCGAGCGUUAAUCGGAAUUACUGGGCGUAAAGCGCACGCAGGCGGUUUGUUAAGCUAGAUGUGAAAGCCCCGGGCUCAACCUGGGAUGGUCAUUUAGAACUGGCAGACUAGAGUCUUGGAGA